rnacentral:sRNA from 1 species
GUUUGCACUCAUCGGGGAAGGGUGAGAACCUUCGACUAAGGUUCGAUUCGAGCGAAAGCGAGAGAACGUUGCCACAGGCAACGGCCCGAAG